GAUGAACGCUGACAGAAUGCUUAACACAUGCAAGUCUUUGGCGAAGCUGUGCUUGCACCGCCUAGCCAAGGCGGACGGGUGAGUAACGCGUAAGGAACUUGCCCUGCAGUCAGGGAUAACAGACGGAAACGACUGAUAAGACCUGGUAAAGUCAGGCGGACUCAUGUCCAGCCUGAUGAAAAGAGAUGCUGCAGGAGAGCCUUGCGUCCUAUUAGCUUGUUGGUGGGGUAACGGCCCACCAAGGCGAUGAUAGGUAGCCGGCCUGAGAGGGGGGACGGCCACAAGGGGGCUGGGAUACGGCCCUUACUCCUACGGGAGGCAGCAGUUGGGAAUAUUGGACCAUGGGGGCAACCCUGAUCCAGCAAUUCUGUGUGCACGAUGAAGGUUUUCGGAUUGUAAAGUGCUUUCAGCAGGGAAGAAAAAAAUGACGGUACCUGCAGAAGAAGCGACGGCUAAAUACGUG
rnacentral:rRNA from 1 species